AUUGAACGCUGGCGGCAUGCUUUACACAUGCAAGUCGAACGGUAACAGGGAGCUUGCUCCGCUGACGAGUGGCGAACGGGUGAGUAAUGCGUCGGAACGUGCCGAGUAGUGGGGGAUAACGCAUCGAAAGGUGUGCUAAUACCGCAUACGAACUGAGGUUGAAAGUGGGGGACCUUCGGGCCUCACGCUAUUCGAGCGGCCGACGUCUGAUUAGCUAGUUGGUGAGGUAAAGGCCCACCAAGGCGACGAUCAGUAGCGGGUCUGAGAGGAUGUUCCGCCAGACUGGGACUGAGACACGGCCCAAACUCCUACGGGAGGCAGCAGUGGGGAAUAUUGGACAAUGGGCGAAAGCCUGAUCCAGCCAUGCCGCGUGUGUGAAGAAGGUCUUCGGAUUGUAAAGCACUUUAAGUCGGGAGGAAGGGCUGUAGGCUAAUACCUUGCAGUUUUGACGUUACCGACAGAAUAAGCACCGGCUAACUUCGUGCCAGCCGCCGCCGUAA
rnacentral:rRNA from 1 species